UUGGAGGGCAAGUCUGGUGCCAGCAGCCGCGGUAAUUCCAGCUCCAAUAGCGUAUAUUAAAGUUGUUGCAGUUAAAAAGCUCGUAGUUGAAUUUCGGGGUUAGUGGGUUGGUCAUGCCUCUGGUAUGUACUGGUCUCACUGAUUCCUCCUUCCUGAUGAGCCGUAAUGCCAUUAAUUUGGUGUUGCGGGGAAUUUGGACUGUUACUUUGAAAAAAUUAGAGUGUUUAAAGCAAGCUAACGCUUGAAUACAUUAGCAUGGAAUAAUGAAAUAGGACGUUCGAUCCUAUUUUGUUGGUUUCUAGGAUUGACGUAAUGAUUAAUAGGGAUAGUUGGGGGCAUUAGUAUUCAAUUGUCAGAGGUGAAAUUCUUGGAUUUAUUGAAGACUAACUACUGCGAAAGCAUUUGCCAAGGAUGUUUUCAUUAAUCAAGAACGAAAGUUAGGGGAUCGAAGACGAUCAGAUACCGUCGUAGUCUUAACCAUAAACUAUGCCGACUAGGGAUCGGAUGAUGUUAAUUUUUUAAUGACUCAUUCGGCGCCUUACGGGAAACCAAAGUGUUUGGGUUC
rnacentral:rRNA from 1 species